AGCGUGACUUCCUCCAUGGGAGUCCAGGCUCAGACCUUCCAGUCCGCUCGAGUGGACUUCUUCACCUCCUCCUCCAUGACCACCUUGGAAAAAAUUGAUCAUUUAAAAUUUGGAAAUGGAAGGAUUUUGUACAGAACAAGACGAACGGCAAACAAACACUGUUAUUGACCUACAUGACCCCAUUCAAUUUAUUGAAAAUGAACUGGAAAAUAAUAUAACUGAAGAAGUAGAACAACAGAUUACUGGAAAGAUUUUUUUUUAAAUAUGGUGCCUACUUCAUAAAAAGCUAAGUAAUUUUGUACAUUAUUUUGGCCAUAAGAGUUGUUUGUUCUGGUAAAUAAAUAUUUUUGAUUUUAGAAAUCGUAGGAGAAGAAAGAAUAUAUAUGACUGAUGUUGACGCUGAAGUUAACCCACCACAGGUUACUGAAAUUAUGGAAGAAGAAAAUAUAAAUAUUACUGAGGUUGGCGCUGAAGUGAAUCAACAACAGAUUACUGGCGAGAUAAAAAAAAAACAUGAUUUUUAUGAAAUUAUGGAACAAGAAAAUACGAGUAUUCCUGAGGUUCAAGCUGAAGUCAACCAACGGCGCAUAACCGGAAAAAAAUCAAGGAAACGUCGAGCUCAGCCACAGAAUUGGAAAAAAAACAUAAAUAUGGUAAAGAGAGAAAAAGGAGAGGCAUACGCUGACUAUAAAAAUAGACGUGUCCCAGAAAAAUCGUCCGCAGUUAGAACACAACUUUGCACAGAAAAAUGCAUACUAAAAUUAGCAGACGCUGAUCGCAAUAGUUUAUUUAAGCAAUACUAUUUAUUACCUACCACUGAUGAGAAAAACGUCUACCUCUUUGGUUGUCUCAAACUAUUCGGUGUUAAGCAACCAAGUAGUACAAAUGCUGUUCGCCAAAAAUCUUUCAGAUAUUUUGUAACUUUAGAUGGAAAAUCAAAACAAGUCUGCAAAAGUGCAUUUUUAAAACUAUUUAAUGUCGGGAGAAAAAAAAUUAGAGCGUAUUCGUAAUCAAAUUUCUCAGGGUCAAGCUAUUCCAGCUAAAGAUAAGAGGGGUCGCCAUAUGACCAACGAGCAGCUUGACAUAGUUCGUCAACAUAAUAUUAAAUCAUUUCCUGCAGAAAUGUCGCAUUAUUCGCGAAAUAAAAAUGAACAUCGCCUGUACUUAUCAUCGCCUAUGCUAUCAAUAAACAAAAUUUAUAAACUAUACAAGAACCAAUGUUCUGAACAAAAUCUACAGUGUGUCAAAAAUAAUAGAUAUAGACAAAUUUUUGUUUCCGAGAUUAAUUUUGGUUUUGGAUCUCCAAAAUCAGAUACCUAUAAGGUUUGUGACUCUAAUGGAAAUAAUGUCGAACACGUUAGGCGCUACAAGGCAGCAUUUGAAGAAGAGAAGAAGAACAGAAAUUUGGCUCAUGAAGGUACCGUUCUAUACAUAAAUUUUGAUAUGCAAGAAACAUUGCCGUUACCAAAGCUCUCUACUAGUGUUUCCUUUUAUCUUCGACAUGUGUGGCUAUAUAAUUUGAGGAUUCAUUGUGUAAGUAAAGAUGAUAAUUCUGGUAAUGAGUUUUUUCACCUUUGGACUGAGGAUAAAGGUGGAAAAGGCCCAGAAGAAGUAUUUUAUCAUUCUUACAGAGCAUUAAUAUUGAAAAUGACCAUUUAGAGCGAUUCUGCAGGUGGACAAAAUAAGAACUUUUUUAUAGUUUGUUUAUGGCAUUAUCUAGUCCACCAAGGUAUUUUUAAAGUUAUCGACCAUAAGUUUCCUGUGGUUGGCCACAGUUUCAUGGAUAUUGAUAGAGACUUUGGGGCUGUCGAAAAAGUUAUCUGAAAAGCUCAAAAUAUUUACACAGUAGACCAGUACAUGACGUUAAUGAGGGAAGCUAGAAAAAGAAAUCCGUUUGUGUUCACUAGAAUGGAAGAUAAAUUUAUUGAUCUAAAAGAAUUGCCACGAAAAUUAAAUUUGUUUGACAAAAAGAAAAGUAACAAGGGAGAAAAGAUACUUUUCCGCAAUGUAAGAUGUAUAAGAGUUGAUAAAUUUGGCACAACGAAAUAUAGAUGUUCACUUGAUGAGAAGGAAGAGUGGCAAGAAGUAGAUAUUAUUAAACACAAAUGGCCAACAGGCCAAAACGAAAAUAUGUUGGUUCCAUUUAAUAAAUCAAGACCCAUAGCAACCAAAAAAUUUGAUAACAUUCAAGAGCAGCUUCCAUUUAUUUUGGAGAAUUUACGGGGAUUUUAUAUGAGCUUAUAUCGAUCUAAAAGUGAUUAAUAUUAGGUACCUACCUAUUUUUGU